UACAGAUAUUAAAAAUUCUUUUUACAGC
rnacentral:sRNA from 1 species